UACAGAGGGUGCAAGCGUUGUUCGGAAUCAUUGGGCGUAAAGCGCACGUAGGCGGCCUGCUAAGUCGGAUGUGAAAGCCCCGGGCUCAACCCGGGAAGUGCAUUCGAAACUGGCGAGCUUGAAUGUCGGAGAGGGCAGUGGAAUUCCGAGUGUAGAGGUGAAAUUCGUAGAUAUUCGGAGGAACACCAGUGGCGAAGGCGACUGCCUGGACGAACAUUGACGCUGAGGUGCGAAAGCGUGGGGAGCAAACAGG
rnacentral:rRNA from 1 species